CCUACGGGAGGCAGCAGUGGGGAAUUUUGGACAAUGGGCGCAAGCCUGAUCCAGCCAUGCCGCGUGUGGGAAGAAGGCCUUCGGGUUGUAAACCACUUUUGUCAGGGAAGAAACGGCUCUUACUAAUAUUAGGGGCUAAUGACGGUACCUGAAGAAUAAGCACCGGCUAACUACGUGCCAGCAGCCGCGGUAAUACGUAGGGUGCAAGCGUUAAUCGGAAUUACUGGGCGUAAAGCGUGCGCAGGCGGCUUUGCAAGACAGAUGUGAAAUCCCCGGGCUCAACCUGGGAACUGCAUUUGUGACUGCAUGGCUAGAGUACGGUAGAGGGGGAUGGAAUUCCGCGUGUAGCAGUGAAAUGCGUAGAUAUGCGGAGGAACACCGAUGGCGAAGGCAAUCCCCUGGACCUGUACUGACGCUCAUGCACGAAAGCGUGGGGAGCAAACAGGAUUAGAUACCCUGGUAGGUCCACGCCCUAAACGAUGUCAACUGGUUGUUGGACGGCUUGCUGUUCAGUAACGAAGCUAACGCGUGAAGUUGACCGCCUGGGGGAGGACGGCCGCGAGGUAGGACGUACGAAGUAGAAGUUAGACGGCGUGAGACGUACGACCGACGGACGACGACGAGGGGAGGAGG
rnacentral:rRNA from 1 species